AAGCUCGUAGUUGAAUUUCGGGGUUCUAUCGUUGGUCGGGCUAUUGUCUGUACUGGCGUGUAGAAUUUCUACCUUCUGGGGAACUAUCAUGUUAUUAAUUUAGCGUGGUAGGAAACCAGGACCUUUACCUUGAAAAAAUUAGAGUGUUCAAAGCAGGCUUAUGUCUGAAUACAUUAGCAUGGAAUAAUAAAAUAGGACGGUGGUCCUGUUUUGUUGGUUUCUGAAUCACCGUAAUGAUUAAUAGGGAUAGUUGGG
rnacentral:rRNA from 1 species